rnacentral:misc_RNA from 1 species
GUGAAUCAUCAAAUUUUUGAACGCAAAUUGCGCCUUUUGCGAAAGGCAUGUCUGUGUGAGUGCACCAUUUAACAAAUAAUGUAAACUUCGUGUGCACACGUUGAUGAGCUUUCCAAAAUUAUGUAUUAUUAUUUUUGUGGGCGCAUAAUAAACAGCGCGAUGCUGUUUUUCAGUUCUAGUGUAGGAAAAGUUGUUCUUGCUUGGGUAGUGAAAAGCUUUAUCG